ACGGGUGAGUAACACGUGGGCAACCUGCCUCAUAGAGGGGAAUAGCCUUCCGAAAGGGAGAUUAAUACCGCAUAAGAUUGUAGCUUCGCGUGAAGUAGCAAUUAAAGGAGCAAUCCGCUAUGAGAUGGGCCCGCGGCGCAUUAGCUAGUUGGUGAGGUAACGGCUCACCAAGGCGACGAUGCGUAGCCGACCUGAGAGGGUGAUCGGCCACAUUGGGACUGAGACACGGCCCAGACUCCUACGGGAGGCAGCAGUGGGGAAUAUUGCACAAUGGGGGAAACCCUGAUGCAGCAAUGCCGCGUGAGUGAUGACGGCCUUCGGGUUGUAAAGCUCUGUCUUCAGGGACGAUAAUGACGGUACCUGAGGAGGAAGCCACGGCUAACUACGUGCCAGCAGCCGCGGUAAUACGUAGGUGGCAAGCGUUGUCCGGAUUUACUGGGCGUAAAGGGAGCGUAGGCGGAUUUUUAAGUGAGAUGUGAAAUACCCGGGCUUAACUUGGGUGCUGCAUUUCAAACUGGAAGUCUAGAGUGCAGGAGAGGAGAAGGGAAUUCCUAGUGUAGCGGUGAAAUGCGUAGA
rnacentral:rRNA from 1 species